CCGGAGGGGUCCUCACACUGGGUGCCAUGAGAAAGGGAACACUGCUGCCUUUGGAGACCUUCCUUAACGCUCCCAGAAGAAAGAGAAGGCACUGGGACUGGGACGCCAAAAGAGGAGAGGGGCAUUUCAGAGAUAGAAUGCUCUCAUAAAAGGAUUACCUGAAGCCACAAACUGGUCGUGAGAAGCUUCGGACGGAAGCACGGGUGAGGGCGCCAGGGUCUGUUGAAAGUCGGCACUCCCGGAUGAAGGUGUCACCUGUGAGUCAGCAAAGAGAGCGGUCUCAUACACGGCAUGCAGCAGUCACUGCCUUUGUGACGUGGAAAACGAAAACAGAAGUGGUCCAGGAGGUGGCACAGUGGAGAUUCAAGAUGAAGCAUGACGCUGAUUUCUUUGGACGUACCAUCGUUUCCAAGGUGGAGUGAGAGCUUGGAUCUCGAUCUUGAGUGGAUAUCCUGGACGGAACCCUCCAAAAC